rnacentral:ncRNA from 2 species
AUAUAGUAAUAAGCGCCUGGGCCUACGGGCUGACGAGGAUAACAGUUAUCGAAAGAUUCGGCGGGUACUGUUACGGUCAUGUGUGGAUCGAAAGAUAUCAGACAAAAGCAAGAUCAUAUGCUACAAAACUGAUUUCAUCACACGUU